ensembl:snoRNA SNORD50B small nucleolar RNA, C/D box 50B
ACCCAAUGAUGAACCUAUCCCGAAGCUGAGUACCUGAAGAAAAAGUAUUACGGAUUCGGCUUCUGAGAG